GAGGAAAAGAAACCAACCGGGAUUGCCCUAGUAACGGCGAGUGAAGCGGCAAGAGCUCAAAUUUGAAAGCUGGCUCCUUCGGGGUCCGCAUUGUAAUUUGCAGAGGAUGCUUCGGGAGCGGUCCCCAUCUAAGUGCCCUGGAACGGGCCGUCAUAGAGGGUGAGAAUCCCGUAUGGGAUGGGGUGUCCGCGCCCGUGUGAAGCUCCUUCGACGAGUCGAGUUGUUUGGGAAUGCAGCUCUAAUUGGGUGGUAAAUUUCAUCUAAAGCUAAAUAUUGGCCGGAGACCGAUAGCGCACAAGUAGAGUGAUCGAAAGAUGAAAAGCACUUUGAAAAGAGAGUUAAAAAGCACGUGAAAUUGUUGAAAGGGAAGCGCUUGCGAUCAGACUCGCUCGCGGGGUUCAGCCGGCCUUCGGGCCGGUGUACUUCCCCGCGGGCGGGCCAGCGUCGGUUUGGGCGGCCGGUCAAAGGCCCCUGGAAUGUAACGCCUCUCGGGGCGUCUUAUAGCCAGGGGUGCCAUGCGGCCUGCCCGGACCGAGGAACGCGCUUCGGCUCGGACGCUGGCAUAAUGGUCGUAAGCGACCCGUCUUGAA
rnacentral:rRNA from 1 species